GGGGUCUUAGCUCAGGCGGAUAGAGCAGAAUUGAACGUCGUUGUUCGGCGCAUCAAGCCAAGCGCUUGGCUGAUUCGUGGAGACGCGAGAUUCCGGUCGGGGGUUCGAGUCCCUCAGACUCCACCA
rnacentral:tRNA from 1 species